CUUUGUGUUCCUCUAUAUACUAACAAAAGGCAAACGAAGAUUUUAUUAUACCCUCAGAAAGCACCUGCUUCAUAGCAAACAGUAUGGCUUGUUAUGAUGAUCUCAUUGAAUGGGACAACUAAGACUUUUUGCAGUGAUGUACAUAAUAUGAGUGUUGGAAGACUUGUCAGGUAUGAACAUCAGAUUUGGACCAUGUUUUUAUCAAUACCUGUGAGUACUCCAGUGGUUGUGUUCCUUCUGAGCUGAAGAGUUUUCCUUAAUGGUCACAUCAGCCUACAUACUGGGGAUACAAGUGGGGAGAGAGCUAAUUCUUCAUUUCUACCUACAGAGAAUUUGGUUGGGUAGUGAGUAAACUGCAGUUGUCACAAGCUGGUUGGCAUUAAGGAUCUGGGCUUACAGGCCUUUUGGAAGAAGGUGUGUUUCACUGUUAUGUCUACCUUAGCAGAAGAUCUGCAGGGAUAUUACAACAAAAAGACUGGAGUUUCAAACAUCUGAUGUGGAAGGAGGACAUAUUUUUUUUCCAUAGUAUCUUCUGACUCAUUUGUCAAGAGUGAAGAGAAGUCUGCUGGGUGGGGAUAUCUGCCUCAGAAGUCCUCCCACAUAUAGAACAACUCAAAGGAAGGAUGAUGACCUGCAUUGUAACAUUUACUGUAAUCUUCUGCAAUUAAA